AUUGAACGCUGGCGGCAUGCCUUACACAUGCAAGUCGAACGGUAACAGGUCUUCGGAUGCUGACGAGUGGCGAACGGGUGAGUAAUACAUCGGAACGUGCCUAGUAGUGGGGGAUAACUACUCGAAAGAGUGGCUAAUACCGCAUGAGAUCUACGGAUGAAAGCAGGGGAUCGCAAGACCUUGUGCUACUAGAGCGGCCGAUGGCAGAUUAGGGAGUUGGUGGGAUAAAAGCUUACCAAGCCGACGAUCUGUAGCUGGUCUGAGAGGACGAUCAGCCACACUGGGACUGGGACACGGCCCAGACUCCUACGGGAGGCAGCAGUGGGGAAUUGUGGACAAUGGGCGAAAGCCUGAUCCAGCAAUGCCGCGUGCAGGAUGAAGGCCUCCGGGUUGUAAACUGCUUUUGUACGGAACGAAAAGCCCCGGGUUAAUACCCUGGGGUCAUGACGGUACCGUAAGAAUAAGCACCGGCUAACUACGUGCCAGCCGCCGCCGUAA
rnacentral:rRNA from 1 species